rnacentral:rRNA from 1 species
UACGUAGGGGGCUAGCGUUGUCCGGAAUCAUUGGGCGUAAAGCGCGCGUAGGCGGCCAGAUAAGUCCGGUGUGAAAGUCACAGGCUCAACCUGUGAAUGCCGCUGGAAACUGUCUGGCUAGAGUCCGGAAGGGGCGAGUGGAAUUCCUGGUGUAGCGGUGAAAUGCGCAGAUAUCAGGAGGAACACCAAUGGCGAAGGCAGCUCGCUGGGACGUUACUGACGCUGAGACGCGAAAGCGUGGGGAGCAAACAGG